GUGAGUAACCUGCCCUUGACUUUGGGAUAACUUCAGGAAACUGGGGCUAAUACCGGAUAGGAGCUCCUGCUGCAUGGUGGGGGUUGGAAAGUUUCGGCGGUUGGGGAUGGACUCGCGGCUUAUCAGCUUGUUGGUGGGGUAGUGGCUUACCAAGGCUUUGACGGGUAGCCGGCCUGAGAGGGUGACCGGCCACAUUGGGACUGAGAUACGGCCCAGACUCCUACGGGAGGCAGCAGUGGGGAAUAUUGCACAAUGGGCGGAAGCCUGAUGCAGCAACGCCGCGUGCGGGAUGACGGCCUUCGGGUUGUAAACCGCUUUCGCCUGUGACGAAGCGUGAGUGACGGUAAUGGGUAAAGAAGCACCGGCUAACUACGUGCCAGCAGCCGCGGUGAUACGUAGGGUGCGAGCGUUGUCCGGAUUUAUUGGGCGUAAAGGGCUCGUAGGUGGUUGAUCGCGCGGAAGUGUAAUCUUGGGGCUUAACCCUGAGCGUGCUUUCGAUACGGGUUGACUUGAGGAAGGUAGGGGAGAAUGGAAUUCCUGGUGGAGCGGUGGAAUGCGCAGAUAUCAGGAGGAACACCAGUGGCGAAGGCGGUUCUCUGGGCCUUUCCUGACGCUGAGGAGCGAAAGCGUGGGGAGCGAACAGGCUUAGAUACCCUGGUAGUCCACGCUGUAAACGGUGGGUACUAGGUGUGGGGUCCCAUUCCACGGGUUCCGUGCCGUAGCUAAACGCUUUAAGUACCCCGCCUGGGGAGUACGGCCGCAAGGCUAAAACUCAAAGGAAUUGACGGGGCCCCGCACAAGCGGCGGAGCAUGCGGAUUAAUUCGAUGCAACGCGUAGAACCUUACCUGGGUUUGACAUGGAUCGGGAGCGCUCAGAGAUGGGUGUGCCUCUUUUGGGGUCGGUUCACAGGUGGUGCAUGGCUGUCGUCAGCUCGUGUCGUGAGAUGUUGGGUUAAGUCCCGCAACGAGCGCAACCCUUGUUCACUGUUGCCAGCCCGUUAUGGUGGGGACUCAGUGGAGACCGCCGGGGUCAACUCGGAGGAAGGUGGGGAUGACGUCAAGUCAUCAUGCCCCUUAUGUCCAGGGCUUCACGCAUGCUACAAUGGCUGGUACAGAGAGUGGCGAGCCUGUGAGGGUGAGCGAAUCUCGGAAAGCCGGUCUCAGUUCGGAUUGGGGUCUGCAACUCGACCUCAUGAAGUUGGAGUCGCUAGUAAUCGCAGAUCAGCAACGCUGCGGUGAAUACGUUCCCGGGGCUUGUACACACCGCCCGUCAAGUCAUGAAAGUUGGUAACACCCG
rnacentral:rRNA from 1 species